AUGUGCUUGCUAAGUAAAUGGUUAUAUAGGUUGUCCGUAGAGGGGCUGGUGUGGUGUGUGCACUUAUUGUGUAACAAGUAUUCACGGUCCAAAACCCUGGCACAAGUCACAGCGCAACCGAAUGACUGUCCUUUUUGGAAGGGGCUGAUGAGGACAAAGGUCACCUUCAUCAAUAGGAGUAAAUUUAUUGUAGGGGGAAACACUACUAGAUUUUGGGAAGAUACCUAGCUAGGGGAGACACCAUUAGCCUUGCAUUGUCAAACAAAGACGCUUUUGUAA
rnacentral:rRNA from 1 species